GUCUACUCAACCCUCAACUCUUGCCAGCUAUUGCUAGAUUCCCAUUCACCAUCUCUUCCAUUCUCCUUGUAUUGAUCUUCCAGCAUACUUGGAGCUGAAGGUCCACCAAUUAAGACAUUUAGGACAUUAUCAGCAUGAGAAAACCCAAGAGUUGAGAUUUGAAAAUGGCAUCCAGCAGUGGGUUGUUAAGAGAUACACGUAUUUCUUGAAAAGCUUCCCAAGAAUCAAGUGACAGCUACAAAAACCCAGAAAAUGAUGCCUCAAGUGGAUUCUUUACCAAGUCACCAUCAUAGCCUGCGGAGUUUUGGUCAAUAAAUAGCAAUCCUGGAGACCUAAAUAAUCAUCUCUGGGAUUGUAUACUUGAUCUUGAAACGGUCCCAGCCAGUGUCUUGCUUGGAGCCUGGGAAAGGAGAAAGGAGGAAGAGUCAUACAAUUUCCAUUUAAAUUGAGAAUCUUUUCCCUGGAAACCCAGAGCCCUCUCUGCUGGCUUCCCACUGUUUGCUUCUUUUUAUGCAUCUUACUCAGAGGAUGGCAUGAUUAUUCCCUAAACAUAUUACUGCAGCUCUUCCGGCAGAUUCUCUCUUCGAGGAAUGUCACGAAUGAAUUACCAUGCGGUAUUGGCAUGGGGCCUCAGCCGGCAGGAGCCAAUUAUUUAAAAAAUUUCCAAGCAAAUCAGAUCAGUGUUUCACAAGUUAUUGGCCAAGAAUCUUC
ensembl:lncRNA